AAAAAAAUUAUAUGUCAUACACAGAAUUCUGAUUUCUGACUGAUAACACAUUUCUCUACAGAGUCUAGUUCUAGCAAUCAGUGUCGGCUAAAUCAAAUGUGCUACUUCUACGUAACCGCGUACUGAGCUUAUAUUGCAGGAAGAAGGAUCAAUGGCAGGAAUAGCAGAGAGAGCUGCAGGGCAGGAUGGAGGUGUAGUGACAGCUGUGUGUGGGGUCAGUACAGGAAUAGCAGAGAGAGCUGCAGGGCAGGAUGGAGGUGCAGUGACAGAGCUGUGUGUGGGGUCAGUACAGAAAUAGCAAAGAGAGCUGCAGGGCAGGAUGGAGGUGCAGUGACAGAGCUGUGUGUGGGGUCAGUACAGGAAUAGCAGAGAGCUGCAGGGCAGGAUGGAGGUGCAGUGACAGGGCUGUGUGUGUGUAGUCAGUACAGGAAUAGCAGAGAGCUGCAGGGCAGGAUGGAGGUGCAGUGACAGAGCUGUGUGUGGGGUCAGUACAGGAAUAGCAGAGAGAGCUGCAGGGCAGGAUGGAGGUGCAGUGACAGAGCUGUGUGUGGGGUCAGUACAGGAAUAGCAGAGAGAGCUGCAGGGCAGGAUGGAGGUGCAGUGACAGAGCUGUGUGUGGGGUCAGUACAGGAAUAGCAGAGAGAGCUGCAGGGCAGGAUGGAGGUGCAGUGACAGAGCUGUGUGUGGGGUCAGUACAGGAAUAGCAGAGAGCUGCAGGGCAGGAUGGAGGUGUAGUGACUGCAUAGGAAUGGUAUAUUAGUAGAUAGUGCAGGUAGAGUGGAUUAUUGUCUAUAAUAAACAGUCACCCUUUUUAUGCAGUAUUAGUUUCUGUAAAGGGAUUUUCUCUAUUUAUGUUGGUUUAAUGUCUCCCCUGAGUUGUUAGGACAGUUCGUGUUUAUUCCAUUAUACGCAGGACAGUAUCCUUGGUGGAUGGAGUUGAUGUUCGUUUUCUAAGUUCAGUUUUUGGUGGGGAGAACAGACUCUGAAAAUCUCAGGAUUUCUGCCUUGUUCUCCCCUCGUUCUCCCCUCGUUCUCUCCAUGCUGCUCCAGUCCAUGUGAAGUUCAGAAUUCCUUUUCACACAUGUAUCUAUAUGCACGAGAGCAAUGGUCAUCAUUCCAUAGACCGUUGCUAUGAAGAUGUGCACAGUCUUCU